GUGGGGGAUAUUGCGCAAUGGGGGGAACCCUGACGCAGCAACGCCGCGUGAAGGAUGAAGGUUUUCGGAUUGUAAACUUCUUUUAUUUAGGACGAACAAUGACGGUACUAAAUGAAUAAGCUCCGGCUAACUACGUGCCAGCAGCCGCGGUAAUACGUAGGGAGCAAGCGUUAUCCGGAUUUACUGGGUGUAAAGGGUGCGUAGGCGGCUUGAUAAGUCAGAUGUGAAAUGUAUGGGCUCAACCCAUGCACUGCAUUUGAAACUAUUGAGCUUGAGUGAAGUAGAGGUAGGCGGAAUUCCCUGUGUAGCGGUGAAAUGCGUAGAGAUAGGGAGGAACACCAGUGGCGAAGGCGGCCUACUGGGCUUUAACUGACGCUGAGGCACGAAAGCGUGGGUAGCAAACAGGAUUAGAAACCCUAGUAGUCC
rnacentral:rRNA from 1 species